CCUAACACAUGCAAGUCGAACGGUAACAGGAAGCAGCUUGCUGCUUCGCUGACGAGUGGCGGACGGGUGAGUAAUGUCUGGGAAGCUGCCUGAUGGAGGGGGAUAACUACUGGAAACGGUAGCUAAUACCGCAUAAUGUCGCAAGACCAAAGAGGGGGACCUUCGGGCCUCUUGCCAUCGGAUGUGCCCAGAUGGGAUUAGCUUGUUGGUGGGGUAACGGCUCACCAAGGCGACGAUCCCUAGCUGGUCUGAGAGGAUGACCAGCCACACUGGAACUGAGACACGGUCCAGACUCCUACGGGAGGCAGCAGUGGGGAAUAUUGCACAAUGGGCGCAAGCCUGAUGCAGCCAUGCCGCGUGUAUGAAGAAGGCCUUCGGGUUGUAAAGUACUUUCAGCGGGGAGGAAGGGAGUAAAGUUAAUACCUUUGCUCAUUGACGUUACCCGCAGAAGAAGCACCGGCUAACUCCGUGC
rnacentral:rRNA from 1 species